GCAGUGGUGGUUCAGUGGUAGAAUUCUGAUCUUCCACGCCAGAGACCCAGGCCUGGCCAAUGCA
rnacentral:tRNA from 1 species